rnacentral:rRNA from 1 species
UUUCGCAAUGCCCGAAAGGGUGACGAAGCGACGCCGCGUGGGUGAGGAAGGCCUUCGGGUUGUAAAGCCCUGUCAGGAGUUAAGAAAUGUAAGUGCGCUAAUAUCGCAUUAAUUUGACAAAGGCUCCAAAGGAAGCCACGGCUAACUCUGUGCCAGCAGCCGCGGUAAUACAGAGGUGGCAAGCGUUGUUCGGAAUUAUUGGGCGUAAAGAGCACGUAGGUGGGUUUGUAAGUCAGAUGUGAAAGCCUUCUGUUCAACGGAAGAAUUGCAUCUGAAACUACAAGUCUUGAGUGUAGGAGGGGAGAAUGGAACUUCUGGUGGAGCGGUGAAAUGCGUAGAUAUCAGAAGGAACGCCGGCGGCGAAAGCGAUUCUCUGGCCUAUUACUGACACUGAGUGUGCGAAAGUUAGGGGAGCAAACGGGAUUAGAUACCCCGGUAGUCCUAACUGUAAACGAUGGGCACUAAGUAGAGGGG